GCCCCAUAGGGAUAGCUCAGUCGGGAGAGAAUGAGACUCUUAACGUUCAGGGCUGUGGGUUCAAGCCCCACGUUGGGCG